rnacentral:tRNA from 1 species
GGUUGGUGAGAUGGCUCAGUGGGUAAGAGCACCCGACUGCUCUUCUGAAGGUCCAGAGUUCAAAUCCCAGCAACCA